rnacentral:tRNA from 1 species
UCCAUGUUAGUAUAGUGGUAAGUGUCGCGGCCUGUAACGCCGGAGACUGUGGUUCGAUUCCCCGACGGGGAG